rnacentral:lncRNA from 1 species
AAACAGGAGGGGGAAUGGCUGUUUACGAGGGUGGAUGGUGAUAGGACAAGGGGGAAUGGUUUUAAACUGAGACAGGGGAGGUUUAGGUUGGAUAUGAGGAGGAAGUUUUUCCCCAGAGGGUGGUGACGCACUGAACAGGUUGCCCAAGGAGGCUGUGGAUGCCCCAUCCCUGCAGGCAUUCAAGGCCAGGCUGGAUGUGGCUCUGGGCAGCCUGGGCUGCUGGUUGGCGACCCUGCACAUAGCAGGGGGUUGGAACU